UAUUAAUUAUAAGAGGCUUCUUAGGCAAGUGAUCAGAGUGUUUGAUUGCUAAUCUAAGAGUCUCGGGUUCAAAUCUCG